rnacentral:antisense_RNA from 1 species
CUUGACGGAGCCGAGCAGCAGCGGCCGGUUCUCGUCGCGGCCCUGGCCGUAGGUGGCGAGCAGGGCCUGUGCCUC